rnacentral:rRNA from 1 species
GAGUUUGAUCCUGGCUCAGGAUGAACGCUGGCGGCGUGCUUAACACAUGCAAGUCGAACGGGGAUGCCAUUUUCGAGGUGAUUAGUUUACUAAGAGCCAAGAUGUUGGCAUCUUAGUGGCGGACGGGUGAGUAACGCGUGGGUAACCUGCCUUAUACAGGGGGAUAACACUUAGAAAUAGGUGCUAAUACCGCAUAAGCGCACGGGGCUGCAUGGCCCAGUGUGAAAAACUCCGGUGGUAUAAGAUGGACCCGCGUCUGAUUAGCUUGUUGGCGGGGUAACGGCCCACCAAGGCGACGAUCAGUAGCCGGCCUGAGAGGGUGGACGGCCACAUUGGGACUGAGAUACGGCCCAGACUCCUACGGGAGGCAGCAGUCGGGAAUAUUGCGCAAUGGAGGGAACCCUGACGCAGUGACGCCGCGUAUAGGAAGAAGGUUUUCGGAUUGUAAACUAUUGUCGUUAGGGAAGAAAAAAGACAGUACCUAAGGAGGAAGCCCCGGCUAACUAUGUGCCAGCAGCCGCGGUAAUACAUAGGGGGCAAGCGUUAUCCGGAAUUAUUGGGUGUAAAGGGUGCGUAGACGGGUGUUUAAGUUGGUUGUGAAAUCCCUCGGCUCA